rnacentral:rRNA from 1 species
GAUCUCAAAUCAAGUAAGACUACCC